rnacentral:rRNA from 1 species
AGCUCUUUGGAAUAGGAUACAACCUUAAUUAGAGAGUAAGCAUAUAUCAACUACCAUAGUUGGCCUAAAAGCAGCCACCAAUUAAGAAAGCGUUCAAGCUCAACAAAUUAAUAUUCAGCUUAAUGUAAUUAAUUAACUCAAACUCCUAAUACUAAACUGGACUAAUCUAUAUUAAUAUAGAAGCAAUACUGUUAAUAUGAGUAACAAGAUUUAAAUCUCCAAGCACAAGUAUACAUCAGAACUAAUACAUAACUGAUUAUUAACGGCCAAAUAAAUAAAACCCAUCAUAAAACAUUUAUUUUUUUUUUUCACCGUUAACCCGACACAGGUGUGCACUCAAGGAAAGAUUAAAAGAAGUAAAAGGAACUCGGCAAACGCAAACCCCGCCUGUUUACCAAAAACAUCACCUCUAGCAUUACUAGUAUUAGAGGCACUGCCUGCCCAGUGACAACUGUUUAACGGCCGCGGUAUCCUGACCGUGCAAAGGUAGCAUAAUCAUUUGUUCCCUAAAUAGGGACUUGUAUGAAUGGCCACACGAGGGUUUAACUGUCUCUUACUUCCAAUCAGUGAAAUUGACCUUUCCGUGAAGAGGCGGAAAUUUACCAAUUAGACGAGAAGACCCUAUGGAGCUUUAAUUUGUCUACUCCAAUAGAAUAUAUUAUUACCCAUACAGGAACAACACCUUAUUCUAACUGGAUAGAAAAUUUCGGUUGGGGUGACCUCGGAGCAUAAACUAACCUCCGAGAUUUUUUUACUAAGACUAACAAGUCAAAGUAUAACUAUAUCAAUUGAUCCAGUAUUACUGAUCAACGGAACAAGUUACCCUAGGGAUAACAGCGCAAUCCUAUUCUAGAGUUCUUAUCGACAAUAGGGUUUACGACCUCGAUGU